rnacentral:lncRNA from 1 species
GGCGAAGCAAAAAGUCAGAUGACAGAUUGUCAAGAAAAGGGCAAAGUUUAUGRUCCAAAGGUAGAAAGAAAGUAACAGAUUUUAAGUAUGCUGAAAGGUGCACUAGGUAGGAGAAGGAGAAAUAAUCUGGUCUCAGAGGUUGUGAUGGUUCUACAUGAUGGAAUAGACCAUGGAGCCUUCAGUUAUGCCAUAGAGACUAAAGAGUAGUUUGAAAACAAAAAUUAAGACUUUUUUUUUUCCCACAGUGUUGAUUAGAAUCUGAUGAUAAGAAAUCCAGAAUGAGUUCCUGCAAAGACCAGCUGUGAAGGUACAAAGGGGAACCAUGGCAGUUGAGGAUGAGUAGAGGACAUUCUUGAAAAUAGGGAAAAGAAAGCAAGAGGAGAAACAAAAAGCAAGUGCCAGAAGUGUAUCCUCAGCAUAAAAGGAAAAGAAAAAUCAAGACCUAAAAGAUCCUGCUUAAAAGCAGGUGUUGGAAUAUCUUGUGGGAGCUCUGCUUUGCACAUCACAACCUGGUUCUCCUCCAYGAAUCAGGAUCUACAACUGGAUGAUACCACCCAUAAAAACCCUUGACCAGUGAUUCCUGGGUAAACAUCUCUCCUCUCAUCAUGAGGAGACCAUGCUGAGAUCAUUUCAUCAGUAAAGAGAUGCAAAAUACAGGUUGUUUAACUCUCCAGCUUUCUGCUGAAAGACAGGACAGUUCAUAGGAGAAUGAUAGCAGUUUUAACUGAGGGACUGAAGAAUUGGAGACUGACAGUAAUGAGAAGAACUGAAGACUAUGGUGGCAUAAAGUAGCAGAGARGAAUAAAAGACAAAGGACAAUGAGGUGGAGAUUCAUUCUGAUAAGGGCAGAAGGCCAUGACCCCAGUGCAUGUCUCUCCUUCCCAGCAGGGACUGACAGGACGUGCCCUUCUCUUUGGAUUAGCUCAGGAAUUCUCCACCAGUGUUCCUCUCGCUGUGGUGUGCUAUCAAGCUACUCAGCACAAAUACCGAGAAGUCAUUCUUGUAAYAGGCAUCUGAGAGGAAAUGCUUACUCAGAGUGCCCCAUGUUUGGAGGAUAAUGUUGGAGAUGCUUGCCACAGAGAACAGUCACCGUAUGAAGUGGGGAUGUCUUCCUGAAAACAGACUGUACAUCAGGCAGCCCUUCUCUAGCAGCAGAAUACUUCUGUAGUUCACAGUUUGAGGAGCUGAUUACAGGAGAAGUUUGGCUGGUAUCAAAUGCUGUGUCAGUUUUACUUUCAUGCUUUAACUACGUUGCACUUAAUUAGGCUUUGUCCACUACCAUUUUAAAGGGCCAGGUGGUCACACAAUAGAAGGGAAAUUUUCUGGCUUUAGUAUGUGAGGUAUAAAUUAAAUAUCUUAUAGUUGUUGAACAUCUAUUGUAACUUAUGGACUGCACUUUCUCAUUCAUUAUAGGUGUGAACUAAACAAAUCUGGCUUUGACUCAAGUGAAUUUUGGCAUGUGUCAAUGCCCUACUGGCCUUUAGGCCUUUCACAAGCAUGUGAUUCCACAUUUUAUGUGGCUAUGUACUAGUGAACGGAAUGUUUAAAUAAAUAGCAAUUUGAGUCACUUAGUCUUGAAUCA